GCCGGGCGUGGUGGCGGGCGCCUGUAGUCCCAGCUACUCGGAGGCUGAGGCGGGAGAAUGGCGUGAACCCAGGAGGUGGAGCUUGCAGUGAGCCGAGAUCUAGCCACUGCACUCCAGCCUGGGCAACAGAGCAAGACUCCGUCUCAA
ensembl:misc_RNA Metazoa_SRP Metazoan signal recognition particle RNA